rnacentral:lncRNA from 1 species
CUGGGACUCAAGGAAAGAGAGGGAGUGCCAAGCUGUUACUGUUUACCCUCUGGCCCAGAUCUUUCUUCAGAAGAAACCUGAGUGGUCUCACAGACUUCCUCGGUUGUGCUGUUUUACUGAGGUUGGGUGGAGUCAACACGUCAUGGAUAAAGAAGUCCCUAAAGGCAGUCCCAGGGAGCCCGCACUGAACAUCAAGAAGUCAGACAAAUCCUUCAAACGCAAGAAGCCCACCGAAAAUGUGCUGAUCUUUUUAAUCAACAGACAACUGGGCAGGCACAGAAGUGACAUCGACCUGUCAAGAUGGGUGUGGAUGCUGUCAUAAAGCAACUCUAGGGUGGACAUGGCCUUGGAUAAAAGGUCAUGUGGCUUACGUGCUGAAGCCUGCCCAGAUUUUUGAGACAUUAAAUAUAAUUAGAACAAUAAAC